rnacentral:rRNA from 1 species
GAACGCUGGCGGCAUGCCUUACACAUGCAAGUCGAACGGCAGCAUAGGAGCUUGCUCCUGAUGGCGAGUGGCGAACGGGUGAGUAAUAUAUCGGAACGUGCCCUAGAGUGGGGGAUAACUAGUCGAAAGACUAGCUAAUACCGCAUACGAUCUACGGAUGAAAGUGGGGGAUCGCAAGACCUCAUGCUCCUGGAGCGGCCGAUAUCUGAUUAGCUAGUUGGUGGGGUAAAAGCUCACCAAGGCGACGAUCAGUAGCUGGUCUGAGAGGACGACCAGCCACACUGGGACUGAGACACGGCC